rnacentral:rRNA from 1 species
GACGAACGCUGGCGGCGUGCUUAACACAUGCAAGUCGAACGGUGAAGCGCCUUCCUUUUUGGUGGGUGUGGAUGAGUGGCGAACGGGUGAGUAACACGUGAGUAACCUGCCCCCUUCUUCUGGAUAACCGCAUGAAAGUGUGGCUAAUACGGGAUAUUCUGGGUCUGUCGCAUGAUGGGUCUGGGAAAGAUAUUGUUUCGGUGGGGGAUGGGCUCGCGGCCUAUCAGCUUGUUGGUGGGGUGAUGGCCUACCAAGGCGGUGACGGGUAGCCGGCCUGAGAGGGUGGGCGGUCAAACGGGGACUGAGACACGGCCCAGACUCCUAAGGGAGGCAGCAGUGGGGAAUAUUGCACAAUGGGCGCAAGCCUGAUGCAGCGACGCCGCGUGAGGGAUGGAGGCCUUCGGGUUGUGAACCUCUUUCGCCAGUGAAGCAGGCCUGCCUCGUUUGUGGGUGGGUUGACGGUAGCUGGAGAAGAAGCGCCGGCUAACUACGUG